UACGUAGGGGGCAAGCGUUGUCCGGAAUUAUUGGGCGUAAAGAGCGUGUAGGCGGCCAUACAGGUCCGUUGUGAAAACUGGAGGCUUAACCUCCAGACGUCGAUGGAAACCGUAUGGCUAGAGUCCGGAAGAGGAGAGUGGAAUUCCUGGUGUAGCGGUGAAAUGCGCAGAUAUCAGGAAGAACACCCGUGGCGAAGGCGGCUCUCUGGGACGGUACUGACGCUGAGACGCGAAAGCGUGGGGAGCGAACAGG
rnacentral:rRNA from 1 species